UUUUUUUCUUAAUUAUUUUCACUUAAUCAGUCUUAAUCAUUUGAAUUUUUCUCUUUAUGUGUUUAAAAGUUUUCCAUCUGUUUACUGUAAACAUCAAUCAUCUAAAAGGUUGAAGGUGAUCCAUUAACUGUACUGAUUGACUGAAUAAUCAUUUUUAGUGGAUAACUUUUGAUGAUUAUAUUUGAUUAGCAACCUCUUUAAUCAUCAUUAAGCUUGGCAGCUAAAAAAGUGAUAACUCAGGCGAUAAUUCAAUGGAAGAUUUAAAGUGGAAAGUGUGUCUAAAACCCUCUCUUCGUAUGAAGAUGAACCUUUUAUUGGGCCUUAAGCUACUUUUGGAUGCCAAAGAUUAACGGUUCUCUUGUUGAAUUUCAAUUCAUUUGGAUAACAAGUUGGCCUCUCAUAAGCAUUUGGGUCAUGUAUCCGAUCACAAUACGAACUCUCUGGUUGCUUACGAAUGGCCAAGAAGUAAAUGGUAAUUGUGGUGGUCUCUUUGUUAUUACAACAGUUACAUCUUGAUUUUCAUUAAAUCUUCGACUAAAAUGGUUCCUUCAAGGGGAAAAUGAAAAAAUAACGAGGAGAUGAUCUUGAUGAUGGUGAAGAUGAGAUGAGAUUAAGGAACAUGGAGAUUGGAAGGAGAGAGAGAGAGAGAGAGGAAAAGGAGAGUAAUAAUCAUAAUUUAAACAUGUAGAUACAUAACAUGGUCGAUUUACAAAGAGAUGAUUUGAACAGAACACUAAUUGUCACUAGUGAUUAAUUUUUUACACACUUAACUAGUGAAUAGAAUUGUUUUUUUUUCUAUAAAAAAAAGUUGUUGAAUCUUGAUUGUAAAUUUGAAUUCUCCAUGUUGUCGAAAGGAGGUAAUAAUAAGAUGAUGAGAUGAAUAUGAGGAAAAAAAUUGAUGGAUGAUGAAAGGGAUGGUAUCAAUAGUAAUGGCAACGACAACAAUGAUAACAACAGAUUUCAGAUAUCCAGCAAAUCUUGACGAUCCAUUAAACUUGUUAAACUGGAAACAAAUUGGUGACCAAUCAAUACGUUUGGAUAUGAUUGAUGUUAUUAUUAUUGAUGAUGAUGAUCUGUAUUCGAUUGGACUCUUAAUC